UACGUAGGUGACCAGCGUUGUCCGGAAUUAUUGGGCGUAAAGAGCUCGUAGGCGGUCUGUCGCGUCUGCUGUGAAAACUCAGGGCUUAACCCUGAGCUUGCAGUGGGUACGGGCAGACUAGAGUGCGGUAGGGGAGACUGGAAUUCCUGGUGUAGCGGUGAAAUGCGCAGAUAUCAGGGAGGAACACCGGUGGGCCGAAAGGCGGGUCUCUGGGCCGGUAACUGACGCUGGAGGAG
rnacentral:rRNA from 1 species